rnacentral:rRNA from 1 species
CAAGUCGAACGGUAACAUUUCUAGCUUGCUAGAAGAUGACGAGUGGCGGACGGGUGAGUAAUGCUUGGGAACUUGCCUUUGCGAGGGGGAUAACAGUCGGAAACGACUGCUAAUACCGCAUAAUGUCUACGGACCAAACGGGGCUUAGGCUCCGGCGCAAAGAGAGGCCCAAGUGAGAUUAGCUAGUUGGUAAGGUAACGGCUUACCAAGGCGACGAUCUCUAGCUGUUCUGAGAGGAAGAUCAGCCACACUGGGACUGAGACACGGCCCAGACUCCUACGGGAGGCAGCAGUGGGGAAUAUUGCACAAUGGGGGAAACCCUGAUGCAGCCAUGCCGCGUGUGUGAAGAAGGCCUUCGGGUCGUAAAGCACUUUCAGUUGUGAGGAAAAGUUAGUAGUUAAUACCUGCUAGCCGUGACGUUAACAACAGAAGAAGCACCGGCUAACUCCGUGCCAGCAGCCGCGGUAAUACGGAGGGUGCGAGCGUUAAUCGGAAUUACUGGGCGUAAAGCGCACGCAGGCGGUUUGUUAAGCUAGAUGUGAAAGCCCCGGGCUCAACCUGGGAUGGUCAUUUAGAACUGGCAGACUAGAGUCUUGGAGAGGGGAGUGGAAUUCCAGGUGUAGCGGUGAAAUGCGUAGAUAUCUGGAGGAACAUCAGUGGCGAAGGCGACUCCCUGGCCAAAGACUGACGCUCAUGUGCGAAAGUGUGGGUAGCGAACAGGAUUAGAUACCCUGGUAGUCCACACCGUAAACGCUGUCUACUAGCUGUGUGUGUCUUUAAGACGUGCGUAGCGAAGCUAACGCGCUAAGUAGACCGCCUGGGGAGUACGGCCGCAAGGUUAAAACUCAAAUGAUUGACGGGGGCCCGCACAAGCGGUGGAGCAUGUGUUUAAUUCGAUGCAACGCGAAGAACCUUACCUACACUUGACAUGCUGAGAAGUUAC